UACGGGGGGGGCAAGCGUUGUUCGGAAUUACUGGGCGUAAAGGGCUCGUAGGCGGCCAACUAAGUCAGACGUGAAAUCCCUCGGCUUAACCGGGGAACUGCAUCUGAUACUGGAUGGCUUGAGUUCGGGAGAGGGAUGCGGAAUUCCAGGUGUAGCGGUGAAAUGCGUAGAUAUCUGAAGGAACACCGGUGGCGAAGGCGGCAUCCUGGACCGGCAUUGACGCUGAGGCGCGAAAGCUAGGGGAGCAAACGGG
rnacentral:rRNA from 1 species